rnacentral:misc_RNA from 1 species
CCGAGUUUACAACUCCCAAACCCAAUGUGAACGUUACCAAACUGUUGCCCUCGGCGGGGUCACGCCCCGGGUGCGUAAAAGCCCCGGAACCAGGCGCCCGCCGGAGGAACCAACCAAACUCUUUCUGUAGUCCCCUCGCGGACGUAUUUCUUACAGCUCUGAGCAAAAAUUCAAAAUGAAUCA